rnacentral:rRNA from 1 species
UACGGGGGGAGCAAGCGUUGUUCGGAUUUACUGGGCGUAAAGGGCGCGUAGGCGGCGUGACAAGUCACUUGUGAAAUCUCCGGGCUUAACCCGGAGCGGGCAAGUGAUACUGUCGUGCUAGAGUGCGGAAGGGGCUACUGGAAUUCUCGGUGUAGCGGUGAAAUGCGUAGAUAUCGAGAGGAACACCUGCGGCGAAGGCGGGUAGCUGGGCCGACACUGACGCUGAUGCGCGAAAGCGUGGGGAGCGAACAGG